CCCAGUGUGGCCGAGUUGGUCUUAAGGCAUUAGAGUUAUGAGUAGUUCAUAACAUCUAACUCCCUAUUCGGGAUCGCAGGUUCGAGUCCUGUCGCUGGGG
rfam:Trichosporon oleaginosus strain IBC0246 unplaced genomic scaffold CC85scaffold_21, whole genome shotgun sequence.